AGAGUUUGAUUCUGGCUCAGAACGAACGCUGGCAGCGUGGAUAAGGCAUGCAAGUCGAACGAGAAGCCGUGUGUUCAAUUCUUCGGGAGAGAACAUGCGGUGGAGAGUGGCGGAAGGGUGAGUAACGCGUGGGCAAUCUACCUCGAAGUUGGGGAUACCCCUUCGAAAGGAGAGCUAAUACCGAAUGUGGUCCCCCAGCGCAUGUUGGGGAGACUGAAGGCGGGGAUCUUUCGGGACCUGCCGCUUUGAGAGGAGCCCGCGUACCAUCAGCUUGUUGGUAGGGUAACGGCCUACCAAGGCUUACGGUUAGCCGGCCUGAGAGGGUGAUCGGCCACACUGGGACUGAGACACUGCCCAGACUCCUACGGGAGGCUGCAGUCGAGAAUCAUUCGCAAUGCGCGAAAGCGUGACGAUGCGACGCUGCGUGGAGGAUGACGGCCUUCGGGUUGUAAACUCCUGUCAUGCGGGAAAAACUAAGCGACCAAGAAUAUGGGUCGCUCUUGAUGGUACCGCAAGAGGAAGCCACGGCUAACUCUGUGCCAGCAGCCGCGGUAAUACAGAGGUGGCGAGCGUUGUUCGGAUUUACUGGGCGUAAAGCGUGCGUAGGCGGUCUCGUGUGUCGGAUGUGAAAUCCCACUGCUCAGCGGCGGAAUUGCAUUCGAAACUGCGGAACUUGAGUACAGGAGAGGAGAGCGGAAUUCUUGGUGUAGCGGUGAAAUGCGUUGAUAUCAAGAAGAACACCAGUGGCGAAGGCGGCUCUCUGGAAUGUUGCUGACGCUCAGGCACGAAAGCUGGGGGAACAAACAGGAUUAGAUACCCUGGUAGUCCCAGCCGUAAACGGUGCGCACUUGGUGUUGGAGGUAUUGACCCCUCCAGUGCCGGAGCUAACGCGUUAAGUGCGCCCCUGGGGAGUACGGCCGCAAGGCUAAAACUCAAAGAAAUUGACGGGGGCCCGCACAAGCGGAGGAGCAUGUGGCUUAAUUCGAUGCAACGCGAAGAACCUUACCAGGGCUUGACAUGUAACUGCACGUCUUGUGAAAGCAAGAUUCCUUCAGGGUGUUACACAGGUGCUGCAUGGCUGUCGUCAGUUCGUGCCGUGAGGUGUUGGGUUAAGUCCCGCAACGAACGCAACCCCUAUGGUUAGUUGCCACCGUCGGUGAUGAGCCGGCGAGCACUUUAGCCAGACUGCCCGUACAAGCGGGAGGAAGGUGGGGACGACGUCAAGUCAGUAUGGCCCUUACGCCCUGGGCUGCACACGUGCUACAAUGGUCGGUACAGAGGGAUGCAAUACCGCGAGGUGGAGCAAAUCCCCAAAGCUGGCCUCAGUUCGGAUUGGAGUCUGCAACUCGACUCCAUGGAGU
rnacentral:rRNA from 1 species